rnacentral:rRNA from 1 species
CGUCGACCGGCGCACGGGUGAGUAACGCGUAUCCAACCUGCCCACCACUUGGGGAUAACCUUGCGAAAGUAAGACUAAUACCCAAUGACGUCUCUAGAAGACAUCUGAAAGGGAUUAAAGAUUUAUCGGUGAUGGAUGGGGAUGCGUCUGAUUAGCUUGUUGGCGGGGUAACGGCCCACCAAGGCGACGAUCAGUAGGGGUUCUGAGAGGAAGGUCCCCCACAUUGGAACUGAGACACGGUCCAAACUCCUACGGGAGGCAGCAGUGAGGAAUAUUGGUCAAUGGACGAGAGUCUGAACCAGCCAAGUAGCGUGCAGGAAGACGGCCCUAUGGGUUGUAAACUGCUUUUAUAAGGGAAUAAAGUGAGUCUCGUGAGACUUUUUGCAUGUACCUUAUGAAUAAGGACCGGCUAAUUCCGUGCCAGCAGCCGCGGUAAUACGGAAGGUCCGGGCGUUAUCCGGAUUUAUUGGGUUUAAAGGGAGCGUAGGCCGGAGAUUAAGCGUGUUGUGAAAUGUAGACGCUCAACGUCUGCACUGCAGCGCGAACUGGUUUCCUUGAGUACGCACAAAGUGGGCGGAAUUCGUGGUGUAGCGGUGAAAUGCUUAGAUAUCACGAAGAACUCCGAUUGCGAAGGCAGC